rnacentral:lncRNA from 1 species
AGCAUUGGUUUUAGUACCCUUUCAGUGUGGACAUUUAUAUGUUGCAUUUCAAUGAAUGUAUGUGAGUGGUUCACGGCCAUUUUGAGUUUUCUCUUUUACCAUUGUUGCACAGUGCCUAUUAUGGCAAUUCAAGCUAUAGAUAUUAUUUAUAUUCACCGUGUUUUUUCCAUGCAUCAUUUUACUUAUCCAAUGCAUGUUUAAUUAAUUGUUGGUAGGAUAUUCUUUUUUAGUGGCUUCUCUUUUAUUUUUAUUUUAUUUUAAUUUUAGCCUUCACUUUAAUGUUUCUAAUUAUGCUUUGUUGUGUUUAAUUUCUAUUUUAAUUCAAUCAUUAGCAUUCACAAACAUUUUCACAAACCCCCCCUCCUCCACUUUGUGUCUGACCUAAUUCUCGAACCACAGUUUGGUCCUUGAGAGACGACCUAGGAGUCACUUCCUAGUACUAUACUACAUUCUUUAUGCACAUUAAAUUUGCAUGCGGUGCGACAACCCACCAAAUUUUGGCGUCGUUGCCGGGGACCAACGGUUUGGUUUUAGAUCUUUUGUUGGGUUAGUGUGUGUUGUGUUUUGUCUUGUGUUGUGAGUGUGAUGUUCUGUUUUGUGUGUUCGUCAUUGUGUGUUGUAUUUAGGUAGCUUUAGUUGCAUAUUUUCAUUGCAUUCUUCUUUUCCCCCUUCUUCUCCAUGUCUACC